AACCUUAUGGACCUGCGGGCGUAUACCUGCGGAAGGAUCAUUAUCGAGUGUAACUGACCCCCUAAAAAAGGGUAGUACCUCCCGUCCUUUGCAGGCCCCCUUUUUAUGGGGGGCUUUUUUUAAGACUUUCUGCUUCGGCGGGGUUACUCCCGCCGGAACACCCUCAAAAAACUCUCAAAAAAACCGUUCAGUCCGAGAACUUUUUAAAAAUAUAAAAAAAAACUUUCAGCAAUGGAUCUC
rnacentral:misc_RNA from 1 species